rnacentral:lncRNA from 1 species
UCUUUUUUUUCUUUUCUUUCGAGGUUCCGGGCACUUGCCCAUUUUUAUUUCCUCGUAUCCUUUCUCUCUCAUUUUUUUAGAGCACUCAUAUCCUAAAAUAAUAUAGCAAGUAGUAGUAACUAAGAUAACUUAAGCAUUUAUUUCACAGGGAAAAACAGAAAUAGGAGAAUAUUUUUGGCUAUUCUCUCCCGGAUUAGGAGUAUAAUACUUUUGGGUGGCUCUGGAGACGGAAAUGAGUGGAUAUAUGUGGAUGCGUACUUCCGGAGUAGAAGCAGCAUGUGUGAGUGAACGUGCAAGUGAAUCUUGAUUUAACCACAUGACAAGCUCCAGGGUCUACACAGCUUGACCACACUCAAUGCUCAUAAGCAGUAAAAAGUAAAUGUAUGG